rnacentral:tRNA from 1 species
GCCCCGGUAGCUCAGCUGGUAGAGCAACUGCCUUUUAAGCAGGAGGUCGGGGGUUCGAAUCCCUCUCGGGGCA